rnacentral:rRNA from 1 species
AACGAACGCUGGCGGCAGGCCUAACACAUGCAAGUCGAGCGAAGCCUUCGGGCUUAGCGGCGGACGGGUGAGUAACGCGUGGGAACGUGCCCUUUGGUACGGAAUAGCCCCGGGAAACUGGGAGUAAUACCGUACGUGGUCGAGAGACGAAAGAUUUAUCGCCAAAGGAGCGGCCCGCGUUGGAUUAGGUAGUUGGUGGGGUAAUGGCCUACCAAGCCGACGAUCCAUAGCUGGUUUGAGAGGAUGAUCAGCCACACUGGGACUGAGACGCGGCCCAGACUCCUACGGGAGGCAGCAGUGGGGAAUCUUAGACAAUGGGGGAAACCCUGAUCUAGCCAUGCCGCGUGAUCGAUGAAGGCCUUAGGGUUGUAAAGAUCUUUCAGUGGGGAAGAUAAUGACUGUACCCACAGAAGAAGCCCCGGCUAACUCCGUGCCAGCCGCCGCGGUAAUAC